ACCUUUCGGGGUUGAGUGGCGGACGGGUGAGUAACGCGUGAGAAUCUGCCUUUUGGUCGGGGACAACCACUGGAAACGGUGGCUAAUACCGGAUGUGCCUUUAGGGGUGAAAGAUUAAUUGCCAGAAGAAGAGCUCGCGUCUGAUUAGCUAGUUGGUGAGGUAAAGGCUCACCAAGGCGGCGAUCAGUAGCUGGUCUGAGAGGAUGACCAGCCACACUGGGACUGAGACACGGCCCAGACUCCUACGGGAGGCAGCAGUGGGGAAUUUUCCGCAAUGGGCGAAAGCCUGACGGAGCAAUACCGCGUGAGGGAGGAAGGCUCUUGGGUUGUAAACCUCUUUUAUCAGGGAAGAACCAAAUGACGGUACCUGAAGAAUCAGCAUCGGCUAACUCCGUGCCAGCAGCCGCGGUAAUACGGAGGAUGCAAGCGUUAUCCGGAAUUAUUGGGCGUAAAGCGUCCGCAGGUGGCUCAUCAAGUCUGCUGUCAAAGGCAGGGGCUUAACCCCUGAAAGGCAGUGGAAACUGGAGAGCUAGAGUGCAGUAGGGGUAGAGGGAAUUCCCGGUGUAGCGGUGAAAUGCGUAGAGAUCGGGAAGAACAUCGGUGGCGAAAGCGCUCUGCUGGACUGCAACUGACACUAAAGGACGAAAGCUAGGGGAGCGAAUGGGAUUAGAUACCCCAGUAGUCCUAGCCGUA
rnacentral:rRNA from 1 species